GACGAAGGGGGGCUAGCGUUGUUCGGAAUUACUGGGCGUAAAGCGCGUGUAGGCGGUUAUCCAAGUCAGGUGUGAAAGCCUUGAGCUCAACUCAAGAAAUGCACUUGGUACUGGGUGACUAGAGGACCGGAGAGGAUAGUGGAAUUCCCAGUGUAGUGGUGAAAUACGUAGAGAUUGGGAAGAACACCAGUGGCGAAGGCGGCUAUCUGGACGGUUUCUGACGCUAAGACGCGAAAGCGUGGGGAGCAAACAGG
rnacentral:rRNA from 1 species